CACGGAGGCAGCCCGCUAAGUAUGGGGCCAUUCCGAGUCCGGCGGACGAACUUCGCCCACGCCCCUCGCCAAGGCUAUAGCCCACCCGUUUUUUGGCCAUUUUUCCGCUAGCGAGUGUUGGCGCCCCGAUCUUCGGGCGCGGCUGUGCCCGUGGCCUAUUUUUGGCACACGGAGGCCACCCGCAAAGUCUGGGGCCAUUCCGAGUCCGGUGGACGAACUUCGCCCACGCCCCCCACCAAGGCUAUAGCCCACCCGUUUUUUGGCCAUUUUUCCGCUGGGGGGUGUUGUUACCCCGACCUUCGGGCGCUCAUUUUUGGGCGCGGCUGUGACCGUGGUCUAUUUUGGGCACACGGAGGCCUCCAGCAAAGUCUGCGGCCAUUCUGAGUCCGGCGGACGAACUUCGCCCACGCCCCCCACCAAGGCUAUAGCCCACCCGUUUUUUGGCCAUUUUUCCGCUGGGGGGUGUUGUUACCCCGACCUUCGGGCGCUCAUUUUUGGGCGCGGCUGUGCCCGUGGCCUAUUUUUGGCACACGGAGGCCGCCCGCAAAGUCUGGGGCCAUUCCGAGUCCGGCGGACGAACUUCGCCCACGCCCCCCGCCAAGGCUCUAGCCCACCCGUUUUUUGGCCAUUUUUCCGCUGGGGGGUGUUGUUACCCCGACCUUCGGGCGCUCAUUUUUGGGCGCGGCUGUGCCCGUGGCCUAUUUUUGGUACACGGAGGGCACCCGCAAAGUAUGGGGGCCUUUCGGAUUCCGGUGGAGGAACUUCGCCCACGCCCCCCACCAAGGCUAUAGCCCACCCGUUUUUUGGCCAUUUUUCCGCUGGGGGGUGUUGUUACCCCGACCUUCGGGCGCUCAUUUUUGGGCGCGGCUGUGACCGUGGUCUAUUUUGGGCACACGGAGGCCGCCAGCAAAGUCUGGGGCCAUUCUGAGUCCGGCGGACGAACUUCGCCCACGCCCCCCACCAAGGCUAUAUCCCACCCGUUUUUUGGCCAUUUUUCCGCUGGGGGGUGUUGUUACCCCGACCUUCGGGCGCUCAUUUUUGGGCGCGGCUGUGCCCGUGGCCUAUUUUUGGCACACGGAGGCCGCCCGCAAAGUCUGGGGCCAUUCCGAGUCCGGCGGACGAACUUCGCCCACGCCCCCCGCCAAGGCUCUAGCCCACCCGUUUUUUGGCCAUUUUUCCGCUGGGGGGUGUUGUUACCCCGACCUUCGGGCGCUCAUUUUUGGGCGCGGCUGUGCCCGUGGCCUAUUUUUGGCACACGGAGGCCGCCCGCAAAGUAUUGGGCCCUUCCGAGUCCGGCGGACGAACUUCGCCCACGCCCCCCACCAAGGCUAUAGCCCACCCGUUUUUUAGCCAUUUUUCCGCUGGGGGGUGUUGUUACCCCGACCUUCGGGCGCUCAUUUUUGGGCGCGGCUGUGCCCGUGGUCUAUUUUUGGCUCACGGAGGCAGCCCGCUAAGUAUGGGGCCAUUCCGAGUCCGGCGGACGAACUGGCCCACGCCCCC
rnacentral:lncRNA from 1 species